AAACAUAAUCUUUGUUUGUAGAGUGGAGAUAUUCAUAACUUAUUCUUAAAAGUCGAAUGCUAUAAAAGUUUAUCUGAAAAAAAUGUUAGUCAGAAAGAAGACUUUGUUUUGCUCAAAUCCAGCCGAAGCUCAUCGAUGAGGUUUUGGUAAAUGUUCUGUAUCUUACCCGCUGGUCAGAUUCCAGCUCAGACCAGGACGACAACGACGUUCAUGGAUCUGUUUGUCUGUGAGUGGAUGCAUCAGAAAGGGGCGGAGCUGGGAGCUCAUGGCCCCGCCCACCAUUUUUCUACAUCACAUUUUAUCUACUUCUGAUUCACAACAAUUUCACUAAAUAAAUAAUCAGAAUUGUAGUUUUAAGAUUCUUCUCCCUUUUUUAUCAGAGAAAGGGAGAAAGCAGAAGUUUUAUCAGGACUCACCGCCGCGAGUGAGGACGCCUUUGAAGACACAAACGUUUUCCCCUCCGCUGACUUGUUGGAGGACCUUCAGCUCAUCUCGAGUGACCUCAGAGUGUGACCCUCGAUGGCUCUGACCCAGGGUUGGAGUACCUGAAACCUAAUCGAAGCAGCUGCAGCCGCGUCAUCUGGAAAAGGAGCCGGCAGGUGACACCUGAGCAGCCGUCACCUUUGGCUCCGGGCCUCCAUCACCUGAUGCGACGUCUUCAUUCAUCUUUGAUGACCUUCAGCUCCGCAGCAUGUUGGUUACAGGACCUGUAAUAAAAGCAACAAUAAUAUAUUUUAAAACAUGUUAAUGUUUAACAAUGUUUAAAGUAGAUUAAAAACGUUAGAUUACCUGUAAUA